rnacentral:rRNA from 1 species
AUUGAACGCUGGCGGCAGGCCUAACACAUGCAAGUCGAGCGGAUGAAGGGAGCUUGCUCCUGGAUUCAGCGGCGGGCGGGUGAGUAAUGCCUAGGAAUCUGCCUGGUAGUGGGGGAUAACGUCCGGAAACGGGCGCUAAUACCGCAUACGUCCUGAGGGAGGAAGUGGGGGAUCUUCGGACCUCACGCUAUCAGAUGAGCCUAGGUCGGAUUAGCUAGUUGGUGGGGUAAAGGCCUACCAAGGCGACGAUCCGUAACUGGUCUGAGAGGAUGAUCAGUCACACUGGAACUGAGACACGGUCCAGACUCCUACGGGGGGCAGCAGUGGGGAAUAUUGGACAAUGGGCGAAAGCCUGAUCCAGCCAUGCCGCGUGUGUGAAGAAGGUCUUCGGAUUGUAAAGCACUUUAAGUUGGGAGGAAGGGCAGUAAGUUAAUACCUUGCUGUUUUGACGUUACCAACAGAAUAAGCACCGGCUAACUUCGUG